GCCAGUGUAGCGCAGUGGUUGGAGAGUUGGACUACAACUCUGGAAAACAGGGUUCAAAUCCCUGCUUGAGCA